UACGUAGGGCGCAAGCGUUGUCCGGAAUUAUUGGGCGUAAAGAGCUCGUAGGCGGCUUGUCACGUCGAUUGUGAAAGCCCGAGGCUUAACCUCGGGUCUGCAGUCGAUACGGGCUAGCUAGAGUGUGGUAGGGGAGAUCGGAAUUCCUGGUGUAGCGGUGAAAUGCGCAGAUAUCAGGAGGAACACCGGUGGCGAAGGCGAAUCUCUGGGCCAUUACUGACGCUGAUGCGCGAAAGCCAGGGGAGCGAACGGG
rnacentral:rRNA from 1 species